CGAAGAAGAGGGGGUAUAUUGCUUUGCUCAUGUCGGUCUGUCGGUCGGUCUGUCUGUCCGUCCACCAGGUGGUUGUCAGACGAUAACUCAAGAACGCUUGGGCCUAGGAUCAUGAAACUUCAUAGGUACAUUGAUCAUGACUCGCAGAUGACCCCUAUUGAUUUUGAGGUCACUAGGUCAAAGGUCAAGGUCACGGUGACCCGAAAUAGUAAAAUGGUUUUUGAAUGAUAACUCAAGAACCCAUACGCCUAGGAUCAUGAAACUUCAUGGGUAGAUUGAUCAUGACUCGCAGACGACCCCUAUUGAUUUUGAUGUCACAAGGUCAAGGUCACGGUGACCCGAAAUAGUAAAAUGGUUUCCGGAUAAUAACUCAAGAAUGCAUACGCAUACGCCUAGGAUCAUGAAACUUCAUGGGUAGAUUGAUCAUGACUCGCAGAUGACCCCUAUUGAUUUUGAGGUCACUAGGUCAAAGGUCAAGGUCACGGUGACCCGAAAUAGUAAAAUGGUUUUCGGAUGAUAACUCUAGUUAAAUGAUUUUCGGAUGACAACUCAAGAACGCUUUUGCCUAUGAUCAUGACACUUCAUAGGUACAUUGAUCGUGACUCGCAGAUGACCCCUAUUGAUUUUCAGGUCACUAAGUCAUAGGUCAAGGUCACAGUGACAAAAAACGUAUUCACACGAUGGCUGCCACUACAACGGACAGCCCGUAUUGGGGGCAUGCAUGUUUUACAAACAGCCCUUGUUCAGUCAGGUGUUGAUCACACAUCGUCAUAUUUAUGCCCCCCUUCGAAGAAGAGGGGGUAUAUUGCUUUGCUCAUGUCGGUCUGUAAGGCUGUCGGUCGGUCGGUCCGUCCGUCCACCAGGUAGUUGUCAGACGAUACCUCAAGAACGCUUGGGCCUAGGAUCAUGAAACUUCAUAGGUACAUUGAUCAUGACUCGCAGAUGACCCCUAUCGAUUUUGAGGUCACUAGGUCAAAGGUCAAGGUCAUGUUGACCCGAAAUAGUAAAAUGGUUUCCAGAUGAUAACUCAAGAACGCUUAGGCCUAGGAUCAUGAAACUUGAUAGGUAGAUUGAUCAUGACUCGCAGAUGACCCCUAUUGAUUUUCAGGUCACUAGGUCAAAGGUCAAGGUCACAGUGACCCGAAAUAGUAAAAUGGUUUCCGGAUGAUAACUCAAGAACGCUUAGGCCUAGGAUCAUGAAACUUGAUAGGUAGAUUGAUCAUGACUCGCAGAUGACCCCUAUUGAUUUUCAGGUCACUAGGUCAAAGGUCAAGGUCACAGUGACCCGAAAUAGUAAAAUGGUUUCCGGAUGAUAACUCAAGAACGCUUAGGCCUAGGAUCAUGAAACUUGAUAGGUAGAUUGAUCAUGACUCGCAGAUGACCCCUAUUGAUUUUCAGGUCACUAGGUCAAAGGUAAAGGUCACAAUGACCCGAAAUAGUAAAAUGGUUUCCGGAUGAUAACUGAAGAACGCUUAUUCCUAGGAUCAUGAAACUUGAUAGGUAGAAUGAUCAUGACUCGCAGAUGCCCCUUUUUGAUUUUCAGGUCACUAGGUCAAAGGUCAAGGUCACGGUGACCCGAAAUAGUAAAAUGGUGUCCAGAUGAUUACUCAAGAAUGCUUAUGGCUAGGAUCAUGAAACUUCAUAGGUACAUUGAUCAUGACUGGCAGAUGACCCCUAUUGAUUUUCAGGUCACUAGGUCAAAGGUCAAGGUCACAGUGACAAAAAACAUAUUCACACAAUGGCUCUCACUACAACGGAGAGCCCAUAUGGGGGGCAUGCAUGUUUUACAAACAGCCCUUGUUUAAGGAACUGGUUAAAUGGUAGGCCCUUAACAAUACCAACAACAAUUACAAAUAAUUGAGGCCAGACAGGGACUGGGGAAUGGUUAAAAGUACCAAUACUAUGUUGUUGUUUUGUUUGUUGCUGGAUAGAAAUUUGCUGAAUUUAAUUGUUAUGAUUUUGUGUGUAUUGUACAACUACUAUGUUGUAUUUUGCUGACUAGUCUUGUUACUAUUUUUUGUGUAUCGUAUGACUUCAUUGUUGUAUUUUGCUGACUAGUCUUACUUGUUACUAUUUUUUGUGUAUCGUAUGACUACUAUGUUGUUUAUGCUGACUAGUCUUACUUGUUACUAUUUAGUAUUUAUUGUGUAUCGUAUGACUACUAUGUUGUAUUUUGCUGACUAGUCUUACUUGUUACAAUUUUGUGUGUAUCAUAUGUCUACUAUGUUGUAUUUUACCGACUAGUCUUACUUGUUACUAUUUUUUGUGUAUCGGAUGACUACUAUGUUGUAUUUUGCUGACUAGUCUUUCUUGUUACUAUUUUUUUUGUAUCGUAUGACUAUAUACUAUGUUAUAUUUUGCUGACUAGUCUUAAUUGUCCCCUACCGGUGAAACCGGAGGGGACUUAUGGUUUGCACUCCGUCUGUCUUUCUGUCAGUCUGUCUGUCAGUCCGUCACACUUUUCUGGAUCCUGGGAUAACUUAAAAAGUUCUUCAUUUUCAUGAAACUUGAAACAGGGAUAGAUGGCAAUAUGGAGAUUAUGCACGUCAUUUCCUUUUGUUCCUAUGUCAGAAAUUCUUGUUGCUAUGACAACAAAUUAAAAAAAAUGUUUUUACUGACAAUGGUGGAGUUUCACCGGUAGGGGACCAUAUUGCUUGGCAAUCUCUUGUUGUUACUUUUUUAUGUGUAUCGUACGCCAUCCAGUUUAAAGAAAUGGUUAUUUUAUUAAUUGCCAGGGUUUAUAGACCAGUUUUGAUAAUAUGGGUGAUAUGAGCCAUUUAUACAUGCAUGUUUGGUAAUUUUCCAUGUAUACAUUAUUCAUUUUGGAUACGUUCGAUUUGUCAUAAUUCUCUAUUUUAUUUACAUUUGCUUAGCAUUAUAUUACCAAAAUACAAUACUCAAGUAAUUUUGUCAUUUAACAUUUUGUUUCAAUAUGUUACUUUUUCAGUUUCUGUACCAGUAGAAUUAUAGUAUGUUUAAAUAAUUUCUUUUACAUUUGUUGUUAGUCAACGUAUAUAUUAAUUAAUUUUACACCAUUAGAAUCAAAAUGGUGGAAUUAGUACAUUUUUAGUUU